GACGAACGCUGGCGGCGUGCUUAGCACAUGCAAGUCGAACGGAAAGGCCCUGCUUUUGUGGGGUGCUCGAGUGGCGAACGGGUGAGUAACACGUGAGUAACCUGCCCUUGACUUUGGGAUAACUUCAGGAAACUGGGGCUAAUACCGGAUAGGAUCUCCUGCUGCAUGGUGGGGUUUGGAAAGUUUCGGCGGUUGGGGAUGGACUCGCGGCUUAUCAGCUUGUUGGUGGGGUAGUGGCUUACCAAGGCUUUGACGGGUAGCCGGCCUGAGAGGGUGACCGGCCACAUUGGGACUGAGAUACGGCCCAGACUCCUACGGGAGGCAGCAGUGGGGAAUAUUGCACAAUGGGCGGAAGCCUGAUGCAGCAACGCCGCGUGCGGGAUGACGGCCUUCGGGUUGUAAACCGCUUUCGCCUGUGACGAAGCGUGAGUGACGGUAAUGGGUAAAGAAGCACCGGCUAACUACGUG
rnacentral:rRNA from 1 species